rnacentral:rRNA from 1 species
GAAUGUAUAGCUCCGGCUAACUAUAUUUAGUUUUUAUUAUGAUAAAUUAAAAAAAUGUAAAUAUUUUAUAUAUUGAAAAAAUAUAGUAUCGAUUUUGUCGAAUAAAGUUCUAGAUAGAAUACUGAUUAUGACUAUUUUCUAUCUAUAUGUCUUGACCAAAUUACGUGCCAGCAGUCGCGGUAAUACGUAGAAGACUAGUGUUAUUCAUCUUUAAUAGGUUUAAAGGGUACCUAGACGGUAAAAUUAGUCUAAAAUAUGAUACGGUUUUACUAGAGUUAUAUAUAAGGAGGUGAGUAUUUAAGGAGUAGAGUUGAAAUUCAGUCAUACCUUAAGGACUGGUAAUGGCGAAAGCAACCUUUUAUCUAAUAACUGACGUUGAGGGACGAAGGCUCGGGUAGCGAACAGGAUUAGAUACCCUGGUAGUCCAAGCAGAAAAUUAUGAAUGCCAUAGAUUAGAAUAUUUUUAGUUUAUAAAUGAAAGUGCAAGCAUUCCACCUCAAGAGUAAUGUGGCAACGCAGGAACUGAAACCAUUAGACCGUUUCUGAAACCAGUAGUGAAGUAUGUUAUUUAAUUCGUCGUUACGCGAAAAACCUUACCACAAUUUGUAUAGUAUCCCUGAAAAGAUACUACAAGCGUUGCACGGUUGUCUUCAGUUAAUGUCGUGAGAUAUUGGUUAAUUCCAUUAAAUUAACGGAAACCCUUGCUUUAUUUGCAAAAUUUAUAAAUAAAGUAGUUCACCAGUACAUCGGAAAUGAUAACAGGGACCAAGACAAAUCAUCAUGGCCUAAAUAUUGUGGGCUAUAGACCGUGCCACAUA